rnacentral:rRNA from 1 species
AACGAACGCUGGCGGCAUGCCUAACACAUGCAAGUCGAACGAGACCUUCGGGUCUAGUGGCGCACGGGUGCGUAACGCGUGGGAACCUGCCCUUAGGUUCGGAAUAACUCCCCGAAAGGGGUGCUAAUACCGGAUAAUGUCUUCGGACCAAAGAUUUAUCGCCUUUGGAUGGGCCCGCGUUGGAUUAGCUAGUUGGUAGGGUAAUAGCCUACCAAGGCGACGAUCCAUAGCUGGUCGGAGAGGAUGAUCAGCCACACUGGGACUGAGACACGGCCCAGACUCCUACGGGAGGCAGCAGUGGGGAAUAGUGGACAAUGGGCGAAAGCAUGAUCCAGCAAUGCCGCGUGAGUGAUGAAGGCCUUAGGGUUGUAAAGCUCUUUUAACCGGGAUGAUAAUGACAGUACCGGGAGAAUAAGCUCCGGCUAACUCCGUG